ACCCCGUCCUAUUUCGCUGUACAAACAUUUAACUAAAGCCAUGGCCACCAACUACCGCGAAUAAUGCAGAGGAGGUACAAUGGCAUUUCAGUAAAUUUUCCGAUGUCGGUCGACGGCUUGGCUGUCGUAAUGCGAUGUAACAAAUUUCACAAAAGUUAAACGAGAUUUAGCAAUCUCUCAGCGAUUGCUUAAACAUGUUCUGCUAAAUUUUGUUUUAA